GUGCUCAAUGUGGCAGCACAUAUACUGAAACUGGAACAAUACUGAGAAGAUUAGCAGGGCCCUGUGCAAAGAUGACACGAAUUCAUGAAGCAUUCCAUAUUUUU
ensembl:snRNA U6 U6 spliceosomal RNA